CGGUGAAGCCCAGCUUGCUGGGUGGAUCAGUGGCGAACGGGUGAGUAACACGUGAGUAACCUGCCCCUGACUCUGGGAUAAGCCUUGGAAACGAGGUCUAAUACCGGAUAUGUGACGUUCAGGCAUCUGAUGCGUCUGGAAAGAUUUAUCGGUCAGGGAUGGACUCGCGGCCUAUCAGCUUGUUGGUGGGGUAACGGCCCACCAAGGCGACGACGGGUAGCCGGCCUGAGAGGGCGACCGGCCACACUGGGACUGAGACACGGCCCAGACUCCUACGGGAGGCAGCAGUGGGGAAUAUUGCACAAUGGGCGCAAGCCUGAUGCAGCGACGCCGCGUGAGGGAUGAAGGCCUUCGGGUUGUAAACCUCUUUCAGCAGGGAAGAAGCGCAAGUGACGGUACCUGCAGAAGAAGCGCCGGCUAACUACGUGCCAGCAGCCGCGGUAAUACGUAGGGCGCAAGCGUUGUCCGGAAUUAUUGGGCGUAAAGAGCUCGUAGGCGGUCUGUCGCGUCUGCUGUGAAAACUCGAGGCUCAACCUCGGGCUUGCAGUGGGUACGGGCAGACUAGAGUGCGGUAGGGGAGACUGGAAUUCCUGGUGUAGCGGUGGAAUGCGCAGAUAUCAGGAGGAACACCGAUGGCGAAGGCAGGUCUCUGGGCCGCAACUGACGCUGAGGAGCGAAAGCAUGGGGAGCGAACAGGAUUAGAUACCCUGGUAGUCCAUGCCGUAAACGUUGGGCACUAGGUGUGGGGCUCAUUCCACGAGUUCCGUGCCGCAGCAAACGCAUUAAGUGCCCCGCCUGGGGAGUAC
rnacentral:rRNA from 1 species